rnacentral:rRNA from 1 species
GUUGAUCCUGCCAGUAGUCAUAUG